GACGGAGGGUGCGAGCGUUGUUCGGAAUUACUGGGCGUAAAGGGCGCGUAGGCGGCUUCGUCAGUCGGGCGUGAAAGCCCGGGGCUCAACCCCGGAAAUGCGCCCGAUACUACGAGGCUCGAGGCCGGGAGAGGGCAGUGGAAUUCCCAGUGUAGAGGUGAAAUUCGUAGAUAUUGGGAAGACCACCGGUGGCGAAGGCGGCUGCCUGGCCCGGAAAUGACGUUGAGGCGCGAAAGCGUGGGGAGCAAACAGG
rnacentral:rRNA from 1 species